ACACUAAAGAUGCCCAAAGAUAACAUACCGUCACUGGGAAGCUUGCUAACUAUCUACAUAUAAUUGCGAUAGUUGGCUGUUUUCUUCAACAAUUCUUUUGGAUAUUUUAUUUGUUUUGUUUAUUCCAGUUAAGGACAUGAAAGUUUUUAGAAUUAAGGAUACAAAGAACGUGUGGAUCCCUUCUGCUUGAGCAGCCCUUUUACAAGCACCUGGCCAGAGCAAAGGGAGAUACAAUGAAUUGACGGACACCAACAACCCUGAUUUCACAUUUCUUUUUUACCAAUCAGCAAUCAGUGUGACUCAUCUCUUCCGACGUGGAUACAAUGCCCUGACUCCCUAGCAAUGGAGAGCUUCAUCUUGUCUAAAGGUUGGGUGGUGACGCCCCAAACCUGGAGUAAUAGCAGGUGUCUGGUUCUAGAGCUGACAGUGCUGGUUACAUUGAUCAGUGCUGGCACAUGUUUUGCAGCAGCAGAUGGGCCUUCAUCGGCUCCUGCCAUAUUGAAAGACUUUCUUGAGGGAUCAUCAAGCUG